rnacentral:tRNA from 1 species
AAGGGUUUAGCUUAAGUUUAAAGUGUUUGUUUUGCAUACAGAUGAUGUGAGUUUGUAAGCUCGCAAUCCUUA